rnacentral:rRNA from 1 species
AUGUGCAGUCACCAAGAGGAACCACUUCACCACGCUCUGGUGAUGUGCGAUCAUGCAAAACUGUUUUGGAGGGAAGCUGAGAAUUUUUUCGACUUCAAACUACCCCGGCUACAUCCUGCUACUUGGUCACAGGAUUUGCUAGACCCGGGGUUUGUCUGCAAGGACCGAGCCGCCACCAUUAUCUGAGUUAUGUGGGCAAUAUGGUCUAGCAGGAAUAAGUAUACCCAUGAGGAGGUUAAGUACGAGCCUGGUAGGUCAAUGGUUCUAGUAAAAGAACUCAUUCAUGCUUUGUACAUUCCGGCCACUCCGUCUGCAGGGCAGCAGAGGAAGAAUGUGGACUGGAUACCACCAGGGACCGGCUGGGUAAAGGUGAACACAUAUGCUGCUGUUGAUGUGAAUGGAGGAACUUCAUCCAUUAGACUUGUGGCAAGAGAUCAGGGAGGUCUCGUGCUCGCCAGAAGUCGCAAGCUAAGGGGGGUGACUGACCCGUAUGUUGCUGAACUCCUAGGAGUGAGAGAAGCUGUGCGUCUAGCUAUGGAGAAGGGCUGGACGCAGGUUGCCGUCGAAACGGAUUGCCAAACUGUCACGGAGGAAUGGACGGCGACAAAAUGCUGGUCGAUGGGGAGUCCAGUAAUCAGCGAAAUCAAAUCAUAUCUCUAA